GAUGAACGCUGGCGGCGUGCCUAAUACAUGCAAGUCGAGCGAACAGACGAGGAGCUUGCUCCUCUGACGUUAGCGGCGGACGGGUGAGUAACACGUGGAUAACCUACCUAUAAGACUGGGAUAACUUCGGGAAACCGGAGCUAAUACCGGAUAAGAUAUUGAACCGCAUGGUUCAAUAGUGAAAGACGGUUUUGCUGUCACUUAUAGAUGGAUCCGCGCCGCAUUAGCUAGUUGGUAAGGUAACGGCUUACCAAGGCGACGAUGCGUAGCCGACCUGAGAGGGUGGACGGCCCACCUGGAACUGGGACACGGUCCAGGCUCCUACGGGAGGCAGCAGUAGGGAAUCUUCCGCCAUGGGCGAAAGCCUGACGGAGCAACGCCGCGUGAGUGAUGAAGGGCUUCGGAUCGGAAAACUCUGUUAUUAGGGAAGAACAAAUGUGUAAGUAACUAUGCACGUCUUGACGGUACCUAAUCAGAAAGCCACGGCUAACUACGUG
rnacentral:rRNA from 1 species